rnacentral:misc_RNA from 1 species
UCUCCAUUUUCAUCGAUCCAUCUCCAUUUUCAUCGAUCCAGACAUAGGGUUAGUCCACGAAAAGGCUUCACAUAUGGUUAUAUUUAGUUGAUUAAAUAAAAAAGAAGUUUAUGAAACUGUAUAUAUUAUAAUUUAGCUAUAACUAUUCUUCCAACAUUUUUGAAUUUUUAAACACAUGCACAUGACAGAUUACACACAGAAAGAGAGAGGAAAAGGAAGAGUUUGCUAGCAAAACUUCUCCUUUUGCACAUCUACAUUACCAGAAGGUAUCCACGUAACAGAAUCACGCGAAUAUACAGAAACGUUUCUUCAGACUAAUGCACAGAAUUGAAAACCAUCUGGGGUUUCUUCAUGACAUGAAGAAGAGGAACUAUUCUUCACAGUUGAAGUUUCAGAAUAGAAUUCUGAAACCGUAAAACUUCUAAUUAGAUCAGUAAUAGAUUCUCACUCUCAGAGUGCCUAAAUAGCCAUUUCUUGCACAUCAGUUUACUCGUCAUUGAUGCUCUUCUCCAAUAACUAAUUCAAACACUCUCAUUCUUCCAUCAGCUUACUUGUCAUUCUUCCAACUGAAAGUAGAAUCUCAUAUGAAAAUCUUCCAGC